rnacentral:lncRNA from 1 species
CAGCCGCGCCUUGUUGGUCUUUGUCCAGGGAACAAUGGAACACCAGUGAAGGGUUUUACACCGGGAGGCAUCCGUGCUCAUAUCUGAGUUUGGACCAGAUGGUGCUGGCUGCCGAGGGAACCAACAGGAGGGCCAACAGCAAGGAAAAGCCCACUUAGCAGGUGCCGCCGGCUCAGGGAUCAGAUGAUGAAAUUUAGGCUCAGCGCCCUGUCAAGGAAGCGACCAGCCAAGGCCACCUGAGGACCCAAUUCACAGGAAGCCCGCAAGCCCGGAAGUCCCAUGCUGUUGCUCCAUGCUGCCGCCCAGUGAACCUGCUGCUGUGCCCUCCCUGGAGGCACCCAGGUACCCAGAACCCAAUCCUUAGGGUUUCUUUUGACUCCUGACCUGGAUUUCUGGAAGCUGAGAAUUUCCUCCCCUGGGAUCCAUCAUCUGACAUCAUCACUGCCCCCACGCUCAGGGAGGCUCCUCCUCAGAACCUAAGAGGCCCGAGACAAAGGCCGGAGGAAGAAUUCCAAACAAGGAGAGAAAUGCCAGCCCCAGGAACACAGCCCAGCAAGACAAAAAUGCCAGAACAAAGGGAACAGCUCAAAAACAAAGCAAAGCACCUUGGACGCUCACGGCAAGUCUUUCAACACAAAGGAGCUGCCAGAAGUCAGUAGAGAAACUUCCAGAGCAGCAGUGAACACCCCAGUGUUGCCUGGAGAUCCCCAGUAGGUGCAAAUUGAUGGGUACCAAGUCCUCACAAAGAGGGAAAAGAAUCCAAACACAUUUGUGAAACGCGGGGUCCCUAACGUGUGUCCACCGCCAAGAUGAAAAGGCUCCACGGCUGACCCCAGGGGACAGAGAAGCAAAAAGGCCAGGGGCUCCAGCAGCAGUGUGGUGGAAAGCGCCAGGGAGCCACGGGAGGGCCACGGAGGGGACAAUUCACGCUGCCUGCCUGGCCUUCAGGGAGAGCUGCAGGGAGGGGCUGUCGCCUGAGCUGGGCUCGGAAGGGUGAACUGGGGUUCAGCUGAUGAUGGCCGUUGG